rnacentral:rRNA from 1 species
CCUACCAUGCAAGUCGAGCGGAGGAUUCGAGAUGUUUACAUCGAAGGAUCCUUAGCGGCNGACGGGUGAGUAACACGUGGGUAACCUGCCUCAGAGUGGGGGAUAGCCUUUCGAAAGGAAGAUUAAUACCGCAUAAGAUUGUAGCGUCACAUGGCGCAGCAAGAAAAGGAGCAAUCCGCUUUGAGAUGGACCCGCGGCGCAUUAGCUAGUUGGUGAGGUAACGGCUCACCAAGGCCACGAUGCGUAGCCGACCUGAGAGGGUGAUCGGCCACAUUGGAACUGAGACACGGUCCAGACUCCUACGGGAGGCAGCAGUGGGGAAUAUUGCACAAUGGGCGAAAGCCUGAUGCAGCAACGCCGCGUGAGUGAUGAAGGCCUUCGGGUCGUAAAGCUCUUUGAUCAGGGAUGAUAAUGACAGUACCUGAAAAACAAGCCACGGCUAACUACGUGCCAGCAGCCGCGGUAAUACGUAGGUGGCGAGCGUUGUCCGGAAUUAUUGGGCGUAAAGGAUGCGUAGGUGGAUAUUUAAGUGGGAUGUGAAAUCCCCGGGCUCAACCCGGGAACUGCAUUCCAUACUGGAUGUCUAGAGUGCAGGAGAGGAAAGCGGAAUUCCUAGUGUAGCGGUGAAAUGCGUAGAUAUUAGGAGGAACACCAGUGGCGAAGGCGGCUUUCUGGACUGUAACUGACACUGAGGCAUGAAAGCGUGGGUAGCAAACAGGAUUAGAUACCCUGGUAGUCCACGCCGUAAACGAUGGGUACUAGGUGUAGGAGGUAUCGACCCCUUCUGUGCCGUCGUUAACACAAUAAGUACCCCGCCUGGGGAGUACGGUCGCAAGACUAAAACUCAAAGGAAUUGACGGGGGGCCCGCACAAGCAGCGGAGCAUGUGGUUUAAUUCGAAGCAACGCGAAGAACCUUACCUAGACUUGACAUCUCCUGAAUUACCCGUAAUGGGGGGAAGCUCUUCGGA